GAUGAACGCUGGCGGCGUGCCUAAUACAUGCAAGUCGAGCGAACGGACGAGAAGCUUGCUUUUCUGAUGUUCGCGGCGGACGGGUGAGUAACACGUGGCUAACCUACCUAUAAGACUGGGAUAACUUCGGGAAACCGGAGCUAAUACCGGAUAAUAUUUUGAACCGCAUGGUUCAAAAGUGAAAGACGGUCUUGCUGUCACUUAUAGAUGGAUCCGCGCUGCAUUAGCUAGUUGGUAAGGUAACGGCUUACCAAGGCAACGAUGCAUAGCCGACCUGAGAGGGUGAUCGGCCACACUGGAACUGAGACACGGUCCAGACUCCUACGGGAGGCAGCAGUAGGGAAUCUUCCGCAAUGGGCGAAAGCCUGACGGAGCAACGCCGCGUGAGUGAUGAAGGUCUUCGGAUCGUAAAACUCUGUUAUUAGGGAAGAACAUAUGUGUAAGUAACUGUGCACAUAUUGACGGUACCUAAUCAGAAAGCCACGGCUAACUACGUG
rnacentral:rRNA from 1 species